AGCAGCCGCGGUAAUUCCAGCUCCAAUAGCGUAUAUUAAAGUUGUUGCAGUUAAAAAGCUCGUAGUUGAAUUUCGGGAUCGACGGGUCGGUCGCGCCUCUGGUGUGUACUGGCCCUGUCGGUUUCUCCCUUCUGACGAACCACGAUGUCAUUAAUUUGGUGUCGUGGGAAAUCAGGACUGUUACUUUGAAAAAAUUAGAGUGUUUAAAGCAGGCAUUCGCUUGAAUACAUUAGCAUGGAAUAAUGAAAUAGGACGUUUGAUCUUAUUUUGUUGGUUUCUAAGAUCGACGUAAUGAUUAAUAGGGAUAGUUGGGGGCAUUAGUAUUCAAUUGUCAGAGGUGAAAUUCUUGGAUUUAUUGAAGACUAACUACUGCGAAAGCAUUUGCCAAGGAUGUUUUCAUUAAUCAAGAACGAAAGUUAGGGGAUCGAAGACGAUCAGAUACCGUCGUAGUCUUAACCAUAAACUAUGCCGACUAGGGAUCGGAUGAUGUU
rnacentral:rRNA from 1 species